rnacentral:rRNA from 1 species
CGUGUAGGCGGUUUCGUAUGUCUGGCGUGAAAGCCCCGGGCUCACCUCGGGAAGUGCGUCGGAAACUGCGAGACUAGAGUCCCGGAGAGGGAGGUGGAAUUCCAGGUGUAGCGGUGAAAUGCGUAGAUAUCUGGAAGAACACCGGUGGCGAAGGCGGCCUCCUGGACGGUGACUGACGCUGAGACGCGAAAGCGUGGGGAGCAAACA